rnacentral:rRNA from 1 species
CCUACGGGAGGCAGCAGUGAGGAAUAUUGGUCAAUGGGAGGAAUCCUGAACCAGCCAUGCCGCGUGCAGGACGACGGCUCUACGAGUUGUAAACUGCUUUUGUACCGGGGUAAAAUGCUCUACGAGUAGGGUCUUGAAAGUACGGUACGAAUAAGGAUCGGCUAACUCCGUGCCCGCAGCCGCGGUAAUACGGGGGAUCCGAGCGUUAUCCGGAUUUAUUGGGUUUAAAGGGUGCGUAGGUUGUUUUAUAAGUUAGCGGUGAAAUACCGAUGCUCAACAUCGGGGCUGCCGCUGAUACUGUAGGACUAGAGAUCGGAUGCAGCAGGCGGAAUGUGUAGUGUAGCGGUGAAAUGCAUAGAUAUUACGCAGAACACCGAUUGCGAAGGCAGCUUGCUAGGCCGGAUCUGACACUGAUGCACGAAAGCGUGGGGAUCGAACAGGAUUAGAUACCCUGGUAGUC